GUUGAACAUCACAACAGUACGCUGUGGUCCUCUAUGCAAAGUGCGGUCCUGUCUCAGGGAAGCUAGGGCCAGAUUUGGUUUCCAGGGAGCCAGCCUUCUGAAUUGGUGUCCCUCUAAAGACUUGUGUCAGCCCCUGCACAUAUUCUUUCUACCCUCAUUCAAGGUUACGGGGAGUGGGCCCUCCCCUUGCAACAAGGUCACAGACACCUGCUGGCGAAAGUGCUGCACCUGUGCAAAAGUGGGGCCUUGGGGCUGGGAAUACAGCUCAGCUGGUUGAGUGCUCUCCUCCCAUGCACAAAGGCCUGGGUUCAACCCCCAGCGCCACAAAAACAAAACAAGUGAGCCCUUUCCACAGCUGUUUACAACCCAACCCUUUGUUUUCCCCUCCCAAGAUUACAGGAUGGGACUUAGCCUUCCAUUUCCAUUAGAGCAGGGUCAGCCUCUGAGAGGCUGUGUGCUGUAGCAGUGCUGUUCUGUUUCACUCCUUAGACCCUUUCUGGGUAAAGGAACCUCAGAAAUAGGUAAGAAGGGGCAAAGACUUAGUAGCCAGAAUUAGUAGUUUUUCCAAGGCUUUUGGGUCCCAAGAAACAACUUAGGAAAUGCUGGUUCAGUUGAUCUUGUUCACAGUUAAUUCUCUUUCUUACUUUCAUUGGGGAAGUUGUAAAAUAAAAUUGUUACACUAGUAAAGCUUUAGUGCAUACUAAAAUGAAACAAUAUUGAUGGUCCUGAGUCUGUCUUUGAUUCAGGAAUGCAUCAGAAGUUUUAAUACCUGUUUCUUUUUAGAAUUAGUUUCAAAAAUAAAAUUCAGAUGAAUUCACUCAGGAUUAAUCAGCACAUUGCUGAUUUCAAAACUCAUAACAGGAGACCCCUGCCAUUGAUUGUUGGUGCUUUUUCUUAAGACUCAUUUGCUUGGAAGGCACAUUUCCUGGAUCACUUCAUUCUUUUUCUCUCUGGGACCUAGGUGUGUAACCCA
rnacentral:lncRNA from 1 species